UUCUGGCUCAGGAUGAACGCUAGCUACAGGCUUAACACAUGCAAGUCGAGGGGCAUCAGGGUCUGUGCUUGCACAGAUUGCUGGCGACCGGCGCACGGGUGAGUAACGCGUAUCCAACCUUCCCCUUAGUAGAGGAUAGCCCGGCGAAAGUCGGAUUAAUACUCUAUGUUGUUCGAUGCGGACAUCUAAGUUGAACCAAAGGUUUACCGCUAAGGGAUGGGGAUGCGUCUGAUUAGGUAGUAGGCGGGGUAACGGCCCACCUAGCCAACGAUCAGUAGGGGUUCUGAGAGGAAGGUCCCCCACAUUGGAACUGAGACACGGUCCAAACUCCUACGGGAGGCAGCAGUGAGGAAUAUUGGUCAAUGGACGAGAGUCUGAACCAGCCAAGUAGCGUGCCAGGAUGACGGCCCUAUGGGUUGUAAACUGCUUUUAUGCGGGGAUAAAGUGAGGGACGUGUCCCUUAUUGUAGGUACCGCAUGAAUAAGGACCGGCUAAUUCCGUGCCAGCAGCCGC
rnacentral:rRNA from 1 species